UGCUUGGAUUACAUUUGUCACCAGAUUUAUGUACUAAAGUUAUGUAUGCAGAAUUCCAUGAAGUUGGAUAGUGUCCUGUUUUUAACAUAAGAUUAAAUAGUUUAGCAUAUGCUUUGGUAGUUACUGGACUACUAAAUUUAAUUACCUCGUUCAACACACUAUCUGGACCGCUUGCUUUUCCAUUUUUUAAGUUUUUUAAAAUACAUUUAAUUUCAGAGCAAGUAAUAGGCCUGUCUGUCUCCGGGUUAAAAGAAAUAGUAUCUUCAAUAUUUUUCAGCUUUUGCUCAAUUUUGGUUUGAAAAUC
rnacentral:lncRNA from 1 species